rnacentral:rRNA from 1 species
GAGACCCACGCCCACAGUUGCCAGCGUACUCUCCGGAGUGACGGGUACACUGUGGGGACCGCCGCUGCUAAAGCGGAGGAAGGAAUGGGCAACGGUAGGUCAGUAUGCCCCGAAUAUCCCGGGCUACACGCGGGCUACAAUGGUUGGUACAAUGGGUAUCUACCCUGAAAGGGGAUGGAAAUCUCCUAACGCCAAUCUUAGUUCGGAUUGAGGGCUGCAACUCGCCCUCAUGAAGCUGGAAUCCGUAGUAAUCGCACUUCAACAGAGUGCGGUGAAUAC